UACGGAGGAUCCAAGCGUUAUCCGGAAUCAUUGGGUUUAAAGGGUCCGUAGGCGGUUUGGUAAGUACAGUGGUGAAAGCCCAUCGACUCCAACGGUGGGAAACGGCCAUUGAUACUGCCAGACUUGAAUUAUUAGGAAGUAACUAGAAUAUGUAGUGUAGCGGUGAAAUGCUUAGAGAUUACAUGGAAUACCAAUUGCGAAGGCAGGUUACUACUAAUGGAUUGACGCUGAUGGACGAAAGCGUGGGUAGCGAACAGG
rnacentral:rRNA from 1 species